UACGUAGGGAGCAAGCGUUGUCCGGAAUCAUUGGGCGUAAAGCGCGCGUAGGCGGCCCUGUAAGUCCGUUGUGAAAGUCAAAGGCUCAACCUUUGAAUGCCGAUGGAUACUGCAGGGCUAGAGUCCGGAAGAGGCAAGUGGAAUUCCUGGUGUAGCGGUGGAAUGCGCAGAUAUCAGGAGGAACACCAACGGCGAAGGCAGCUUGCUGGGACGGUACUGACGCUAAGGCGCGAAAGCGUGGGGAGCAAACGGGG
rnacentral:rRNA from 1 species